GAUGAAGAACGUAGCGAAAUGCGAUAAGUAGUGUGAAUUGCAGAAUUCAGUGAAUCAUCUAAUCUUUGAACGCACAUUGCGCCCUUCGGUAUUCCGUUGGGCAUGCCUGUUCGAGCGUCAUUUAAACCUUCAAGCUCUGCUUGGUGUUGGGUGUUUGUUCCGCCUGCGCGCGCGGACUCGCCUCAAAUUCAUUGGCAGCCGGUAUGUUGGCUUCGUGCACAGCACAUUGUGUCGCGACUCCAGCCUGCCUCCUUCCAUCAAGCCCCCCUAUUACUUUGGCCUCGGAUCAGGUAGGGAUACCCGCUGAACUUAAGCAUAUCAAUAAGCGGAGGA
rnacentral:misc_RNA from 1 species